rnacentral:rRNA from 1 species
AGAGUUUGAUCCUGGCUCAGGACGAACGCUGGUGGCGUGCUUAACACAUGCAAGUCGAACGGUGAAGCCCAGCUUGCUGGGUGGAUCAGUGGCGAACGGGUGAGUAACACGUGAGCAACCUGCCCCCUACUUCGGGAUAAGCCUUGGAAACGAGGUCUAAUACCGGAUAUGAACACUUGUCGCAUGGCGGGUGUUGGAAAGUUUUUCGGUGGGGGAUGGGCUCGCGGCCUAUCAGCUUGUUGGUGGGGUAAUGGCCUACCAAGGCGUCGACGGGUAGCCGGCCUGAGAGGGCGACCGGCCACACUGGGACUGAGACACGGCCCAGACUCCUACGGGAGGCAGCAGUGGGGAAUAUUGCACAAUGGGCGAAAGCCUGAUGCAGCGACGCCACGUGAGGGAUGACGGCCUUCGGGUUGUAAACCUCUUUCAGCAGGGAAGAAGCGAAAGUGACGGUACCUGCAGAAGAAGCGCCGGCUAACUACGUGCCAGCCGCCGCGGUAAUAC